AAGUCCGUGCCUCAGGUCUGCACGAUCCGCCACAUUGCGGCCAGGCGCAUGUCACCAUCUGCCAUGUUUCCCCACACUCCUGCCGCGGCACACGAUGCUCGAAGAAGCGCGUAUUUUAGCAGGAAUUACCCCUUCUCCACCGAGGCCCGCGGCUCCGCCGGUCGUCGCCGGUGGUUUCGGUGUGCGGAGCCCCCGACUGGAGGCUGAAGCCGCCCGGAGAUGCUGCACCAUUCCUCGUUAGCUGAGUCACGGCUAAGAAGAGGCAGGCUUCCUGUGUAAAAUGCUUCAGUGGCUCCAGGCAUCUGAUCGCCAGGUGCAGGCCCAGUUUGCCGUUCUUGCUCUGCUAUGACUAACGUAAUUGCACACGCUGUAGGAUCAACACAAGGAGCCAGAGUCCAUGUGCAGUCUGCAGGCCUUCUACUCCUGAUGCCAUACUUCAAAGAGCCCAAAACCUCCAUCAUGCCUGAGUAAGUAACGUAACGUAAGUUGUUAAAAAGAUAAAUAAGCGUGUAGAGAAGGGCUCUCGAGAA